CCUACGGGAGGCAGCAGUGGGGGAUAUUGCACAAUGGGGGAACCCGGAGGCAGUGACGCCGCGGGGGAGAAGGAGAGUGUCGGAGCGUAAAGCCCUAUAGGAAGGGAAGAAGAGGACGGGACCGGACCAAGAAGCCCCGGUGAACUACGGGCAAGCAGCCGCGGUAAUAGGGAGGGGGCAAGCGUUAGCCGGAUUUACUGGGUGUAAAGGGGGCGCAGACGGCAAUGCAAGGCAGGCGUGAAAGCCCGGGGCCCAACCCCGGGACUGCUCUUGGAACUGCAUGGCUGGAGUACAGGAGGGGCAGGCGGAAUUCCUCGUGUAGCGGUGAAAUGCGUAGCUAUUAGGAGGCACACCGGUGGCGAAGGCGGCCUGCUGGACUGUGACUGCCGUUGAGGCCCGAAAGCGUGGGGAGCAAACAGGAUUAGAUACCCUUGUAGUC
rnacentral:rRNA from 1 species